rnacentral:rRNA from 1 species
UAGAGUUUGAUCCUGGCUCAGGAUGAACGCUAGCUACAGGCUUAACACAUGCAAGUCGAGGGGAAACGACAUCGAAAGCUUGCUUUUGAUGGGCGUCGACCGGCGCACGGGUGAGUAACGCGUAUCCAACCUGCCCACCACUUGGGGAUAACUUUGCGAAAGUAAGACUAAUACCCAAUGACGUCUCUAGAAGACAUCUGAAAGAGAUUAAAGAUUUAUCGGUGAUGGAUGGGGAUGCGUCUGAUUAGCUUGUUGGCGGGGUAACGGCCCACCAAGGCAACGAUCAGUAGGGGUUCUGAGAGGAAGGUCCCCCACAUUGGAACUGAGACACGGACCAAACUCCUACAGGAGGCGGCAGUGAGGAAUAUUGGUCAAUGGGCGAGAGCCUGAACCAGCCAAGUAGCGUGCAGGAUGACGGCCCUAUGGGUUGUAAACUGCUUUUAUAAGGGAAUAAAGUGAGCCUCGUGAGGCUUUUUGUAUGUACCGUAUGAAUAAGGAUCGGCUAACUCCGUGCCAGCAGCCGCGGUAAUACGGAGGAUCCGAGCGUUAUCCGGAUUUAUUGGGUUUAAAGGGAGCGUAGGCGGGUUGUUAAGUCAGUUGUGAAAGUUUGCGGCUCAACCGUAAAAUUGCAGUUGAUACUGGCGACCUUGAGUGCAACAGAGGUAGGCGGAAUUCGUGGUGUAGCGGUGAAAUGCUUAGAUAUCACGAAGAAACCCGAUUGCGAAGGCAGCUUACUGGAAUGUAACUGACGCUGAAUGCUCGAAAGUGUGGGUAUCAAACAGGAUUAGAUACCCUGUUAGUCCACACAGUAAACGAUGAAUACUCGCUGUUGCCGAUAUACAGUUAGCGGCCAAGCGAAAGCAUUAAGUAUUCCACUUGGGGAGUACGCCGGCAACGGUGAAACUCAAAGGAAUUGACGGGGGCCCGCACAAGCGGAGGAACAUGUGGUUUAAUUCGAUGAUACGCGAGGAACCUUACCCGGGCUUAAAUUGCAACUGACGGAACCGUAAACGGUUCUUUCUUCGGACAGUUGUGAAGGUGCUGCAUGGUUGUCGUCAGCUCGUGCCGUGAGGUGUCGACUUAAGUGCCAUAACGAGCGCAACCCUUACGGGUAGUCACCAUCAGGUUAUGCUGGGGACUCUACCCGGACUGCCGUCGUAAGAUGUGAGGAAGGUGGGGAUGACGUCAAAUCAGCACGGCCCUUACGUCCGGGGCUACACACGUGUUACAAUGGGGGGUACAGAAGGCAGCUACACGGCGACGUGGUGCUAAUCCCAAAAGCCUCUCUCAGUUCGGAUUGGAGUCUGCAACCCGACUCCAUGAAGCUGGAUUCGCUAGUAAUCGCGCAUCAGCCACGGCGCGGUGAAUACGUUCCCGGCCCUUGUACAAAACGCCCGUCA